CUACGGGAGGCAGCAGUAGGGAAUCUUCCGCAAUGGACGAAAGUCUGACGGAGCAACGCCGCGUGAGCGAUGAAGGCCUUCGGGUCGUAAAGCUCUGUUGUCAGGGAAGAACAAGUACCGGAGUAACUGCCGGUACCUUGACGGUACCUGACCAGAAAGCCACGGCUAACUACGUGCCAGCAGCCGCGGUAAUACGUAGGUGGCAAGCGUUGUCCGGAAUUAUUGGGCGUAAAGCGCGCGCAGGCGGUCCUUUAAGUCUGAUGUGAAAGCCCACGGCUCAACCGUGGAGGGUCAUUGGAAACUGGGGGACUUGAGUGCAGAAGAGGAAAGCGGAAUUCCACGUGUAGCGGUGAAAUGCGUAGAGAUGUGGAGGAACACCAGUGGCGAAGGCGGCUUUCUGGUCUGUAACUGACGCUGAGGCGCGAAAGCGUGGGGAGCAAACAGGAUUAGAUACCCUGGUAGUCCACGCCGUAAACGAUGAGUGCUAAGUGUUAGGGGGUUUCCGCCCCUUAGUGCUGCAGCUAACGCAUUAAGCACUCCGCCUGGGGAGUACGGCCGCAAGGCUGAAACUCAAAGGAAUUGACGG
rnacentral:rRNA from 1 species